rnacentral:lncRNA from 1 species
CAGAAACCUCCAGGAGGGCAAGCAGGGCCCAGUUUCAACCCUGAUUAGUGGACCCGAGCCAGGCAGUAACCUCCUGGAACCCCCAACUAGUAACAAUCACAAGACAAGAAGCAGAACAUUGACAGGACAGAGGAAGAGUGGCUACAUCCAGGAUGGAGUGAUUUUCUUUUUUUCACAGACCAGCCGGGAAGCCACAGGAAACCUGGAGACCACCUUAAAAUCUCUCAGUAGGGGCAGAUCAGCGAUCAGCUUGUUUUAAUCCAAAAAAGAAAAAAAACAAACAAACAAGUAGAGACAUCUUGGACAUUCACCAGAGUUUUUAAAAGACAUUUUUACGGGUAAAAAUUAGGAAACUGCUAUGGGAAAUAUUACACUCUGUGACCCUGUACCCGAAAAGCCUCCAGGUGUGGCACUUCACAGAGAAGAGGUCUCACCUGUCCAGCAGAUACCUAGACGGGUCUGAGAGGAGAGACCAAGAGCUCAGAAAGGAAACCAGACAGACGGAUCCUCUCAGAUGUGGGCAAGAAAUCUCACAGUUUCACUGCUUUACAGACGCGGCUCGGCGGUGCUGGCAAGAUUGUUCAGCAUUGAGACACUGGGCAAAGAGACAGAAAACAAAAGAAACAGGCACUUCUCUGCCCAGAGCAGGGGUGGGGAAAACCAGGCCCCCGAGGAAGCAGCACAGACAACAACCCUGAAAACAACCCAAAUGCUCCCUGCUGGCAGGCCACAUGAUGAAGCGUGGGACAGCGCCACCUUGGAACACUGCAAGCAGGGGACAGAAGGAGGGACCUGCAGCACACGCAGCACUCCGGUGAGUCUCAGAAGAGCGACUGGCACCCAGCUCCACGUACACAAAGGGCAGAGUCGGCCAAACCAGCCACCCGCUGUUCAAGGAGGCAGACAAGUGCAGGGAGGCAACAAAGAAAAACCAGGAAUGGUCAGGCCACAGUGCAGA